GACCCGCGUGAGGGAUGACGGCCUUCGGGUUGUAAACCUCUUUCAGUAGGGAACAAGGCCAGGCAUUGUCUGGUUGAGGGUACUUGCAGAAGAAGCGCCGGCUAACUACGUGCCAGCAGCCGCGGUAAUACGUAGGGCGCAAGCGUUAUCCGGAAUUAUUGGGCGUAAAGAGCUCGUAGGCGGUUUGUCGCGUCUGCCGUGAAAGUCCGGGGCUCAACCCCGGAUCUGCGGUGGGUACGGGCAGACUAGAGUGAUGUAGGGGAGACUGGAAUUCCUGGUGUAGCGGUGAAAUGCGCAGAUAUCAGGAGGAACACCGAUGGCGAAGGCAGGUCUCUGGGCAUUAACUGACGCUGAGGAGCGAAAGCAUGGGGAGCGAACAGGAUUA
rnacentral:rRNA from 1 species